rnacentral:rRNA from 1 species
ACGGAAGGCAGCAGUGGGGGAUUUUGCACAAUGGGGGAAACCCUGAUGCAGCGACGCCGCGUGAGUGAAGAAGGCUUUCGGGUUGUAAACUUCUUUUAAGUGGGACGACAAUGACGGUACCACUUGAAUAAGCUCCGGCUAACUACGUGCCAGCAGCCGCGGUAAUACGUAGGGAGCAAGCGUUAUCCGGAUUUACUGGGUGUAAAGGGCGUGUAGGCGGGACAUCAAGUCAGAUGUGAAAGCACGAGGCUCAACUUCGUGUCUGCAUUUGAAACUGACGUUCUUGAGUGUUGGAGAGGCUAACGGAACUCCUAGUGUAGCGGUGAAAUGCGUAGAUAUUAGGAAGAACACCAGUGGCGAAGGCGGUUAGCUGGACAAUAACUGACGCUGAGGCGCGAAAGCGUGGGUAGCAAACAGGAUUAGAUACCCUGGUA